rnacentral:rRNA from 1 species
UACGUAGGGUGCAAGCGUUGUCCGGAAUUAUUGGGCGUAAAGAGCUCGUAGGCGGUUUGUCACGUCUGCUGUGAAAACCCGAGGCUCAACCUCGGGCUUGCAGUGGGUACGGGCAGACUAGAGUGCGGUAGGGGAGAUUGGAAUUCCUGGUGUAGCGGUGGAAUGCGCAGAUAUCAGGAGGAACACCGAUGGCGAAGGCAGAUCUCUGGGCCGUAACUGACGCUGAGGAGCGAAAGCAUGGGGAGCAAACAGG